rnacentral:rRNA from 1 species
AUUGAACGCUGGCGGCAGGCCUAACACAUGCAAGUCGAGCGGAUGAAGGGAGCUUGCUCCUGGAUUCAGCGGCGGACGGGUGAGUAAUGCCUAGGAAUCUGCCUGGUAGUGGGGGAUAACGUCCGGAAACGGGCGCUAAUACCGCAUACGUCCUGAGGGAGAAAGUGGGGGAUCUUCGGACCUCACGCUAUCAGAUGAGCCUAGGUCGGAUUAGCUAGUUGGUGGGGUAAAGGCCUACCAAGGCGACGAUCCGUAACUGGUCUGAGAGGAUGAUCAGUCACACGGGAACUGAGACACGGUCCAGACUCCUACGGGAGGCAGCAGUGGGGAAUAUUGGACAAUGGACGAAAGCCUGAUCCAGCCAUGCCGCGUGUGUGAAGAAGGUCUUCGGAUUGUAAAGCACUUUAAGUUGGGAGGAAGGGCAGUAAGUUAAUACCUUGCUGUUUUGACGUUACCAACAGAAUAAGCACCGGCUAACUUCGUG